rnacentral:rRNA from 1 species
GACGAACGCUGGCGGCGUGCUUAACACAUGCAAGUCGAACGGAAAGGCCCUGCUUUUGUGGGGUGCUCGAGUGGCGACCGGGUGAGUAACACGUGAGUAACCUGCCCUUGACUUUGGGAUAACUUCAGGAAACUGGGGCUAAUACCGGAUAGGAGCUCCUGCUACAUGGUGGGGGUUGGAAAGUUUCGGCGGUUGGGGAUGGACUCGCGGCUUAUCAGCUUGUUGGUGGGGUAGUGGAUUACCAAGGCUUUGACGGGUAGCAGGCCUGAGAGGGUGACCGGCCACGUUGGGACUGAGAUACGGCCCAGACUCCUACGGGAGGCAGCAGUGGGGAAUAUUGCACAAUGGGCGGAAGCCUGAUGCAGCAACGCCGCGUGCGGGAUGACGGCCUUCGGGUUGUAAACCGCUUUCGCCUGUGACGAAGCGUGAGUGACGGUAAUGGGUAAAGAAGCACCGGCUAACUACGUG